rnacentral:rRNA from 1 species
UGGGGAAUUUUGGGCAAUGGGGGAAACCCUGACCCAGCAACGCCGCGUGAAGGAUGAAGUAUUUCGGUAUGUAAACUUCGAAAGAAUAGGAAGAAUAAAUGACGGUACUAUUUAUAAGGUCCGGCUAACUACGUGCCAGCAGCCGCGGUAAUACGUAGGGACCAAGCGUUGUUCGGAUUUACUGGGCGUAAAGGGCGCGUAGGCGGCAUGACAAGUCACUUGUGAAAUCUCUGGGCUUAACCCAGAACGGCCAAGUGAUACUGUCGCGCUAGAGUGCAGAAGGGGCAAUCGGAAUUCUUGGUGUAGCGGUGAAAUGCGUAGAUAUCAAGAGGAACACCUGAGGUGAAGACGGGUUGCUGGGCUGACACUGACGCUGAGGCGCGAAAGCCAGGGGAGCAAACGGGAUUAGAUACCCUUGUAGUCCCUGAGCGGGCUGGCAAGGCGCAU